rnacentral:rRNA from 1 species
AGCAGUCGCCGCGGUAAUACGUAGGGUGCGAGCGUUAAUCGGAAUUACUGGGCGUAAAGCGUGCGCAGGCGGUUUUGUAAGACAGGCGUGAAAUCCCCGGGCUCAACCUGGGAAUGGCGCUUGUGACUGCAAAGCUAGAGUGCGGCAGAGGGGGAUGGAAUUCCGCGUGUAGCAGUGAAAUGCGUAGAUAUGCGGAGGAACACCGAUGGCGAAGGCAAUCCCCUGGGCCUGCACUGACGCUCAUGCACGAAAGCGUGGGGAGCAAACAGGAUUAGAUACCCCCGUAGUCCCUGUCUCUUAUAC